rnacentral:rRNA from 1 species
CUACGGGUUGCAGCAGCUUAGAAUUCUUUACAAUGCACGGAAGUGUGAUAAGGGGACCCCAAGUGCUUUACUUCGGUAAGGCUUUUUUUAAGUGUAAAUAGCUUAAAGAAUAAGUGAUGGGUAAGACCGGUGCCAGCCGCCGCGGUAACACCGGCGUCACAAGUGGUGACCACAUUUAUUGGGCCUAAAGCGUUAGUAGCCGGUUUAGUAAAUCUUUUGUGAAAUUGAUGGGCUUAACCUAUCAACGUGCAAGAGACACUGUUAAACUCGGGACCGGGAGGAGAUAGGAGUAUUCUUGGGGGAGCGGUAAAAUGCUAUAAUCCCAAGAGGACUACCUGUGGCGAAGGCGCCUAUCUAGAACGGGUCCGACGGUGAGUAACGAAAGCUAGGGGAGCGAUCUGGAUUAGAUACCCUGGUAGUC